GACGAACGCUGGCGGCGUGCUUAACACAUGCAAGUCGAGCGGUAAGGCCCUUUCGGGGUACGACGAGCGGCGAACGGGUAGGAGUAACACGUGGGUGGACCUCGCCCUCCAGCUCUGGGAGUAAGCCUGGGAAACGUAGGGUCGUAAUACUGGAUAUGACUCCACGGUGCAUGUCGUGGGGUGGAAAGACCUUGUGCGGCUGAGGAGUGGGCCCGGCGGCCUAUCAGCUUGUUGGUGGGGUGAUGGCCUACCAAGGCGACGACGGGUAGCCGGCCUGAGAGGGCGACCGGCCACACUGGGACUGA
rnacentral:rRNA from 1 species